rnacentral:lncRNA from 1 species
GUGUUCACGGUGAAGGACCAGCAGGAGUGAAGCCAGAGUCUCUCCUGUUUUCAACUGCUCCCUGUUAAAAAUUAAGCCACCUGAAAAAGUAUAGUAGUUUCUUUAAGCCACGAGAGUAUUAGCCAGUGAGACUUCAGACUGAUGCUUAAUGGAAAAAAGUAUUUCCUUGAAUAUUUAAAUUAAAUGAGAGAGAAUUUUCAAAGGUCGUUACAGCUCACGAUUAGCUUGUGUAAAUCCUCACUUCUCUUUUAUCGCACCCCUUGCCUCUUCUCAGAAGAAGGGAGCUCCAAUGCAGUUCUCUAAUGUGGGAAGUUAGAUCUCUGCCCAGUUUAUACUUGGCUAAACCAUAUUGAUCAAAUCACCUGUGAGCACACAGCGGCUGACUCAGGCCUCAGGGCUCAGCCUGAAGAACAAUUAGAUUGAUCAGAGAUAUCAGCUGUGACUGGAAGAGACAACUCAGUUUGACCAGAGCGGUGCCACUUGCGCGCCAUCCUCCGUCCUCAGCACCAGCUGGUCAGCUCUUGAUCAUUGUCUCCUCCUUUUGGGAGCCUGCUUCCGAUAUUAGCCCUUUGCUCCAAAGUGUUUCCUGCAACCAUCUU